GGACGUUUGGCCGAGUGGUCUAAGGCGCCCGACUCAAGUGGUCUCACUUCCUGCGUUUCGCAGGUGUAAUCGGGUCUCGUAAGAGGCAUGAGUUCGAACCUCAUAGCGUUCA
rfam:Pichia pastoris GS115 chromosome 1, complete sequence